UAAAUUGAUAAAAAAGGAUAAAUAUUAAGGCCUAAUUUGUCAUUAUGCCUUUAUUUUUUAAAGAAAAUAUACAAAGAAUAAAAAAUCUUAUACCAAAAGAACAAAUUAAUUUUUCUUCAACGAUAUAAUAAUCAAUUAAUUACAAGUACAACAUAAGCUUAAAAAAAACAAACAAAUAUAUUUAUUUUAAUGCACAAUUACUUUUUUGGUACUCC
rnacentral:lncRNA from 1 species